rnacentral:rRNA from 1 species
UACGUAGGGGGCAAGCGUUGUCCGGAAUCAUUGGGCGUAAAGCGCGUGUAGGCGGCCCGGUAAGUCCGCUGUGAAAGUCGGGGGCUCAACCCUCGAAUGCCGGUGGAUACUGUCGGGCUAGAGUACGGAAGAGGCGAGUGGAAUUCCUGGUGCAGCGGUGAAAUGCGCAGAUAUCAGGAGGAACACCAAUUGCGAAGGCAGCUCGCUGGGACGUUACUGACGCUGAGACGCGAAAGCGUGGGGAGCAAACAGG